AUUGAACGCUGGCGGCAUGCCUUACACAUGCAAGUCGAACGGUAACAGGCCUUCGGGUGCUGACGAGUGGCGAACGGGUGAGUAAUGCAUCGGAACGUACCCAGAGGUGGGGGAUAACGCAGCGAAAGCUGUGCUAAUACCGCAUGUGAUCUGAGGAUGAAAGCGGGGGACCGCGCAGCAAUGUUUGGCCUCGCGCCUUUGGAGCGGCCGAUGUCGGAUUAGCUAGUUGGUGGGGUAAAGGCCUACCAAGGCGACGAUCCGUAGCUGGUCUGAGAGGACGACCAGCCACACUGGGACUGAGACACGGCCCAGACUCCUACGGGAGGCAGCAGUGGGGAAUUUUGGACAAUGGGCGCAAGCCUGAUCCAGCAAUGCCGCGUGCGGGAAGAAGGCCUUCGGGUUGUAAACCGCUUUUGGCAGGAACGAAACGGUGUCCGCUAAUACCGGGCGCUAAUGACGGUACCUGAAGAAUAAGCACCGGCUAACUACGUG
rnacentral:rRNA from 1 species